UCUUCAUUUCACACACUCUCUCAUCGGUCAGAGAGGCGAGAUAGUGUGUUAAAUGGAGAGA
rfam:Pristionchus pacificus strain PS312 contig10389, whole genome shotgun sequence.